GCGGUCACAAAGAGUCAGACAGACUGAGCGACUGAACUGAACUGGAGGGGGCCUGGCCAACCAAGCCCCAGGCUUAACAACAUUCCAAGUUUUACAAGACAAAACAAACAGCAUCAACAGGAAACCAGACUUACAGCUUGAUGAUGAUUCCAUCCUGGGAUUAUAAACAGAAACCUUGAACUGCAAUUUUGAUGUCUCACCUACGGAGUUAAUACUCUGCCUGUGACCUUUUCCCUUUUGGGACUCCAGAUGUGCUGUGACAGGGGACUUCCCAGCGCUGAUUAAGUCUGGAUGUUGGUCAAAACCCAAUUUGGUAAUGAAAGCCUUCGAUAGGAGAUGCAUUGAGACCCUGAAAGUCAUGGUGCAAGCCUGGCCCUUUGUACACCUGCCUCUGGGGAACCUGAUGGACAUGCCACAUGUGGGGUCUCUACAGGCUGUACUGGAAGCACUUGAAGGCCUGCCUUCCCAGAAGGUUCACUCCAGGAGGUACAAACUACGGGUGCUAGAUUUGUGGGACAUUGCCCUAACUUCUGGAGCAUGUGGUCUGGAGCCAGCACUUCCAGGUGCGCAAGUCAGGAAGAGCACCAGUGGCUGAGUCCAAGUCGAUGGCAAAGCAGCACGUGGCUCCACUGAGGAUUUUCAUAGACCUUUCCCUGAACAAAAGGACUCUGGACAACUUCCUCACCUACCUUCUCAGGUGGGUGGAGCAGAGAAAAGCUUCCAUACACCUGUGCUGUAAGAAGCUGAAGAUCUUUGCAAUGCCAUGGAAAAUAUCACUAAGGUCCUGAAUAUGAUGCAGCUGGACUGUAUCCAGGAGGUGAGUGUGAAUUGCAGCUGGCAUCUGCUCACCCUGGCCAUGUUUGCUUCUUUCCUGGGCCAGGUGAGUCAUUUACAGAGGUUCCAUCUCUUCCCCAUCCACAUGUCUGUCUGUGAGAAGCAGGAGCAGUAUCACUUUGUCCAAAUCACCUCUCAGUUCCUGAGGCUGGACCACCUCCAGGAUCUCCAUCUUGAGUCUCCCUCCUUCCUUGAAGGCUGCCUGGACCAGUUGCUCAGUGCCUAAGACGACCUUGGAAAAACCUCUCAAUAACUAACUGCCAGCUAACAGAAUCAGACUUGACCCAUCUGUCCCAGCACCCGAACAUCUCUCAGCUAAAAGACCUGGAUCUGGGUGGUGUCUGGCUGGUCAACUUUAAUCCAGAGCUCCUCCAAGUUUUGUUGGAGAAAGUUGCAGCCACCCUCCAGGAACUGUACUUAGAUGAAUGUGGGAACAGGGACUCUCAGUUUGAGGCCAACCUGCCUGCCCUGAGCCGCUGCUCACAUCUCAAGUCCUUCAACCUAAGUAGGACCUCCUGUCCACGGCCAUCAUGGAGAAGCUGCUGCAACACACCAGUGUGCUGCCCUGUUUAAGGCAAGAAUGGUCCCCUGCCCCUCAGGAGAGUUACAGCCCUGAGGGUGUUCCUCUGGAAGGCAGACUUGCCCAGGUUUGGACUCCACUGAUGGAGAUUAUGAGGAACUUAGUCCAGCCCAAGACCAUCAGGAUUUUCCUAAGUCCCUGUCCAUACCAUAGUGAUGACAUAUACGAUCAUGUGGAGCCCGUUAUAUACAGCUUUAUUAACCCUGCCUAGGUGGUUGCCUCUAUCCAAACCUUUCUCUGGGCACUUGGAAACUGGCUUCUAGGAUCUGGGGAUUUCUUAACCUGAAAACACACCUAUGGCUUCAGACAUUAGUUUAAUGUAAUGUGAAAAGGAAAGGUGAUGGGAGAUUCAGGAUUGCAGAGAGAAAUAUAGACUCGGAGAGGCGAUGGGACUUUCUGGGGCAUGUAUUUACAGCAUCAGAAAAAUGAAUCUAAUUUUUUAGAGUAAACUUGGGAUGUUCAUGUGGCAUCAUCCCUGGGUGGAUGAUUGUAAAGAAAUAGCCAGAAAUAAAGAAAACUUUGGUAUGUAUGGACUGGUGCCCUUCCUGAUAGACCUGUUUUCUCUGUUCCAUCUCAGAAAUCUUCAGUUACUGAUGAAAGAAAGUGCACUGAAUUGUCUAUGCUCUUCAAACCCCACUAUUCCCACCAGUUCUCUAUUCUGUCUGAGACAUCUUUUGCCUCCUUACUUACUUCUGUGAUGGCUCAGUGGGUUAACUGCACACAACAAGGAAAACAUACUCCUUCACCAUGAACCAUUGGCAUGAAGACUCUUGACAGGGUCCUCACAGCUGAUUCAGGCCGUGAACCUGGACAUGAGCAGUUCUCAUUGUUCUCCCAGUGAUUCCACAUAGGUCUCAGUUUCUCCUUCUGUGCUGUGACAUGGCUUCACUUCACAAGUCAAGACUCUCAGUUCUGGAAGGCAUCAUCCAUAUGCAGAUUAGCCAGAACCCCUUAUCCUUACAACCCAUGCCUGUCAUGAGUGUGCAGUUGUGACCAGUAAAGACAUCCAUUUCCUUUUGUCUUAAUACUGAAAUCAUACAGGUGCAUCACUUGGUUUUAGUAUUUCUAAGUCACAUUAAGACAUUGCAUCCUUUUGUAUGUUAGGUUGUGUCAUUGAGAGAUGUACAUUAUUCCCAUAACACCUACUAUCUCUACAUAAAACCUACUGUUUUAUCAUCCACAUAUUAGCCCAUAUAAAAAAAACUCCCUCUAUUUACACCUUAUAACUCAUAGUCAACUCUCCCUACCUUCAGUUCCACAUCCUGAGAUUUAAGCACCUGUAGGUGGGGUAGUGCUACAUUUACUAUAAAACAAUGUCCACGAGUAAGAGGAUCUGAGCAGUUCCAUGUCAUGUUGGUCAAGAGUGAUCUGUAUAUGUACAUAUGUAUCAGAAGGGAUUAUUGUGGGAAUGGGUUCAAAGGGGCUACAGAGAUGGAGAAGUCCCAUGGUCUGCUCUCUGUAAGCGAGAGAACCAGGAAAUCCAGUUUUAUAACUCAGAUCAGUACUCAGGGCUGAAAAUGGGGGAAGCUGGUGAUAUAACUCCAAGUGUGAGGCUAAACUCUUGUGGACCAGGGGACCACUCAUGUAAGCCACAGAGUCUCAAGUCUCAAGAGCCAGAAGCUGCUAUGUUCAUGUGGAAGAAAAGAAAGAGGGAGAAAAGAUAGUAUCUUGUUCCAUUCAGACCCCCAGGCAUUGCAUGAAGCCCCAUCACAUUGGUGAGGGCAGAUCCCUUCACACAGUUGAUGGAUUCAAAUGAUAAUCUUUCCCAGAAUCACCAUCUCAGAAAUGCCCAGAAUCAAUAUCUCAUAAAAUUAACCAGCACAGUGUCUGUAAACAAGGGCACCCAAAUAAAGGCUCCUUGCUGAGGAUUCAAGGGCUGGUAUUGUUGGUCUGGGGAUGGAGAGGAAGCAACAGGUACAGCUUCUAUAAAAUGGAGGUAAUGAUGCACACAGGCAUACGGGGAUCCUGUAGGAUCAAUGAGAUGAUGCACACUGAGGCCUUUGCACCAGGUUUGGCAUAGAGGAGGAGGUUCAAUGAAUGAGUUGUUUCCUUCUUUUCCCGUGAUAGCAGACACCCCUAGGAUUCUUCAUUCUUCAAGAUUACCCUUUAUUCCUUCAACAGAAAGGAAAGAAAAAGGACUUAGAAUUUAUAUGAGGCCAUGAAUAAAUCAUGGGCUUCCCAGUGGCACUAAUGGUAAAGAACCUACCUGCCAAUGCAGGAGACCUAAGACAAGUGUGAUCCCUCGGUCAGGAAGAUCCUCUGGAGGAGGGCAUGGCAACCCACUGCAGUAUUCUUCCCUGGAGAAUUCCAUGGACAGAGGAGCCUGGGGGGCUACAGGUAGCAUGCAUGUGUUUGUGUGAAUAGAAUGUUUCAAGUCCUUUGAAGGAUACCAAGGAGUGAAACUGCUGGCUUGUAGGAUAACAGUAUGUAUUAAAAAUAUUUUUUUCUCAGCAAUCUCCCCAGUUAGGCAGACAUUGUCCCACAAAGGGUAGGAACAGUGUCUCUAUCACCCUGUGGGCCCAUAACUGACCACAGAUCCUGACAAGGCAGUAAGUGAUUAUAAAUGCAUGGUCCAUGGAAAAAUUUAUCAUUAGUUUAUAGUCAAAUAUUAUUUUUCAUUAUAAAGUCAAUGUGGGGGAAAUCAACACUAUAUUAUCAGCUGAUAAUAAUAUAAAAAUACAGGAUAUAGAAGAAAUAACACUUGACUUGUGGUCAAUAUAUAUUUUCAUGUAAAUUACCUAUGACCUGAAAUAAUGAAUGAAUGUUAUAGUCAUAGGGAAUUUUAUGUUAAGAGUGGAUUACUUUAUAAAGUCAGUCAUAUCACCUGUAUUUUACUUUAACCUAGUAUAUACAGCACCGACUUCUUACUGUGUGCUGUGUGAUUUUUCAAGAAAAAAAAAUCAUGAGCCCAUAAAUACCUUCCACCUUCCUGUACAUUCUUUCUAUCCCUUUCAUGUGUGUCUGAGUUAGUUCAGGCCAUUAUAACAAUACUGUGGACUGAGGGGCUUAAACAAACAAAAUUUACAUCUUCCAAUUCUGGAGGUUGAAAGACUGAGAUCAGAGAGGCAGUGAGGUUGGGUUGUGGAGGGAACAAGCUUCCUAGUUUCCUCACUUGGUGUGGGGAGGGGAGCUCAAGUCUCUUCAUUUGGCUCUAUGGGCACUAAAUGGCUCAAGGAUUGCCAGCUCCAUGACCUCAUCCAAACCUAGUUAUCUCCUAAGGAAACUCCAAUUCCCAUCACCCUGGGGUUUGAGGCUUCAAGGUAUGACUUUUUGGGGUGUGAGGGAGGGUGUAUGAGAGAAGGAGUAGGAGAUGGGGAAUAAACAUUCAAUUCAUAGUAACACAUCACCAUAAAGAGAGGACAAGACCCCAGUGGACAAAUCAGCAUUCCAGUGGUCAUCCUCCACUCUAUGUUUUCACCACCUCUACACCCAAGCUGCCUGCAAACAGCCAAGGCUGUGGUGCCCCUGUGUCUGUCCACCUAUGUGUGUCCAACACAAAUGCUCUAACCAAGCCAGGAUGCAGGUUGUGCUCUCUCCCUGCUCUCCAUUCCUGUUCCUUUGUCCAUUGACAAAAUCAUCUCCCUGCAACCAUUGCAGAGAUAUAGAGGCUAUGACUCAAAUCGUGGAAAUCUUACCAAGUAUCUCCUCUUUGUUCCAAGUCCCAUGUGAUCUGCCUGAGCCUCCCUGCCCAGCAUCAGUGACCUUCACCUGUUCCCAAGUUGGCCACACACUUCAUUACAUCCGUAUUUGCACAGUCCACCCAGUGCUCCAACAAAAUCCCCUCAACUAAAAACAUUGUUUAAUCAAUAUUUAUUCAAGUUCCUGACCUUCUCCCAGGAAUGUCUGAGGGUUUUUGUGUAAAAUCCACUUUGAAUAAGAAUUGUUCAGCAAGAAAUCACACUCUUUUUUUUUUUUUUUAUUAGUUGGAGGCUAAUUACUUCACAACAUUUCAGUGGGUUUUGUCAUACAUUGAUAUGAAUCAGCCAUAGAUUUACACGUAUUCCC